rnacentral:rRNA from 1 species
UGUCAGGUUAAGUCCUAUUACGAGCGCAACCCCUGUUGUUAAUUGCCAGCGAAUCAAAUCGGGAACUCUAACAAGACUGCCAGUGCAAACUGUGAGGAAGGUGGGGAUGACGUCAAAUCAUCACGGCCCCUACGCCUUGGGCUACACACGUGCUACAAUGGACGGUACAGAGAGCAGCCAAUACGUGAGUAGGAGCGAAUCUACAAAACCGUUCUCAGUUCGGAUCGGAGUCUGCAACUUGACUCCGUGAAGCUGGAAUCGCUAGUAAUCGGAUAUCAGCCAUGAUCCGGUGAAUACGUUCCCGGGCCUUGUACACACCGCCCGUCAAGCCAUGGAAGCUGGGG